CGUCGCAGAACGUACAUGGUACAAGUUUAUGUUGACCGCAUGGACAAUGGAAUGUAUCUUUUAUAAAUUAUAUGGUAAGAACCUGGUAAUACCAUGGAAACAAACGAGGCUUCCUUUUACAGUACAGUUUCAGCUUACUUACUGGGUAAAUUGUCGUGUUUUACUUGGUAACGUCGCAGAACGUACUUGGUACAAGUUUGUGUUGACUGCAUGGACAAUGGAAUGCAUCAAUUAUCAAUUCUAUGGUAAGAACCUGGUAAUACCAUGGAAACAAACAAGGCUUCCUUUUACAGUACAGUUUCAGCUUACUUACUGGGUAAAUUGUCGUGUUUUACUUGGUAACGUCGCAGAACGUACAUGGUACAAGUUUAUGUUGACUGCAUGGACAAUGGAAUGUAUCUUUUAUAAAUUAUAUGGUAAGAACCUGGUAAUACCAUGGAAACAAACGAGGCUUCCUUUUACAGUACAGUUUCAGCUUACUUACUGGGUAAAUUGUCGUGUUUUACUUGGUAACGUCGCAGAACGUACUUGGUACAAGUUUGUGUUGACUGCAUGGACAAUGGAAUGCAUCAAUUAUAAAUUCUAUGGUAAGAACCUGGUAAUACCAUGGAAACAAACAAGGCUUCCUUUUACAGUACAGUUUCAGCUUACUUACUGGGUAAAUUGUCGUGUUUUACUUGGUAACGUCGCAGAACGUGCAUGGUACAUGUUUGUGUUGACUGCAUGGAUAAUGGAAUGUAUCUAUUAUAAAUUAUAUGGUGGUGGUAUCCUGCCCCUGCGACGAUCAGCAAGCUACUUUCAGCUGUCGCCGCAUCACACCUGCAACCAUUACAGCUAUGGCAGAUAAGUUAUCUG